UAUGAACAUAUAUGCAAGUCGGUCUGGAUAAGAGCGUCUGCUAAAUUACAUAAA
rfam:Salmo salar isolate Sally breed double haploid chromosome ssa04, whole genome shotgun sequence.